ACAGAUGUACCAUUAAUAGCACCAUUUAUUGCCCCCUGGUGCCUUGUAUGGUGUGCCCUGCCCGAGCUCUCAGAGAGCCCAACCGUGAAUUCAUAAGCAUUAGUAAGUCACCAGUUCUCACGACACACUAUGAGCUCACAGCUGUAAGGGAAAGGGUGAAUUUCAAGAUUUGAAGGCCAAGGUUUAUCCUUAGGCCACCUGGCUGGUGUGUCCACAAGCCAACAUUGCAAAGGAAAGUGAUGAAAUCAAUAGUUGCUGCAGCCCCGAGAGCACUCUCUCUGCCAUCACCAUGUGGGGCUUCAAGCCACUUUGCUUCAAGCCACUUUCCUUCAAGCCACUUGGCUUCACAGGGCCUCAGUUCCUUAUCUCGCUGCCCCCCUUGCUGGGUGGGCCUCCCUCUUCCCAACCUGCAAUUCCACAUCCCUCCCUGCCUUGAUUAACUGAGGUCCUCCUUGUUACCAGAGUCACAGGCUGAGGGUUCUGCAGGUUAGGAUGGAGGGGGCGGACUGGCGUUCCUCAGGCCUGAGUCAAAGUCAGGGACAAGCACAGCUCCGGGCAUGCAUGUUAGCAGGUUCAUAAGACUUUUCUAUGAGAUGGACGGAAGAUGAAUGAAUGGGUGGUGGAUGGAUAGAGGGAUGGAUGGAGGAUGAAUAGAUGGAGAGAUGAAUAAAUGGACAGAAAAUGGAG
rnacentral:lncRNA from 1 species